AUAAAGGAAUAAAGUGCGGGACGUGUCCCGUUUUGUAUGUACCUUAUGAAUAAGGAUCGGCUAACUCCGUGCCAGCAGCCGCGGUAAUACGGAGGAUCCGAGCGUUAUCCGGAUUUAUUGGGUUUAAAGGGUGCGUAGGCGGCCUUUUAAGUCAGCGGUGAAAGUCUGUGGCUCAACCAUAGAAUUGCCGUUGAAACUGGGAGGCUUGAGUAUGUUUGAGGCAGGCGGAAUGCGUGGUGUAGCGGUGAAAUGCUUAGAUAUCACGCAGAACCCCGAUUGCGAAGGCAGCCUGCCAAGCCAUGACUGACGCUGAUGCACGAAAGCGUGGGGAUCAAACAGGAUUAGAUACCCUGGUAGUCCACGCAGUAAACGAUGAUCACUAGCUGUUUGCGAUACACAGUAA
rnacentral:rRNA from 1 species